CUUCUUGACACAGUCAGACAGAACAAAAGAAAUUUUCCGAAAUGUCAAUUGCAAAAUUAAUAGUGAAAAUUAAACAAUAUAAACAAUAAACAUCAUGUAGUGAUCCUAUUCGGAUUCAGCCAUCGAUUAAUUGCAAAUAUGAAGUAUACAAGUGAUGCUUUCUGGUGGCUAGUGUGUCUUUUAUUACAGGUGGUCGGCGCCCUCGCCUGCAAGAAGAAAUCUUCUUGCCGCCCACCUCGCUGUCCGGGCGGCUGUAAACCCAAGUACUGGUGAUCGCCACACCAGCCGUCACACCGUCACGUUUAUCCUGAACUUAUGACGGUAGUCACCAUCAAAUUUAGUGAAAAUAAUAUGAGAACUUUGCUGUGGUCGCUGUGGUGGUGUGUGUUGAGCCUCAUAGCGACCGUGGGGGGCUGCUGCAAGAAGAAAACAAUCUGCAGGCCGCCGCCCGGCGGCAAGCCCGGAUGCGGCCGUGGCUGGUUAAACUGCUAGCUAAAAGAAAAUCAAGAAGAGGAACAAGAGAACUUAGGAAAUUUGAUACUCAAGGCGUAAAUAACCUAGUCCUAAAUUAAUAAAAUAAUUAUAAAGGUUAAUAAGAGACAUGGAAUCAGUAAACAAAAUAUAACUU